UCCGAUUUUCAUUUGUAGUUGCUUUG
rnacentral:miRNA from 1 species